rnacentral:rRNA from 1 species
UACGGGGGGGGCAAGCGUUGUUCGGAAUUACUGGGCGUAAAGGGCUCGUAGGCGGCCAACUAAGUCAUACGUGAAAUCCCUCGGCUUAACCGGGGAACUGCGUCUGAUACUGGAUGGCUUGAGUUCGGGAGAGGGAUGCGGAAUUCCAGGUGUAGCGGUGAAAUGCGUAGAUAUCUGGAGGAACACCGGUGGCGAAGGCGGCAUCCUGGACCAACACUGACACUGAGGAGCGAAAGCCAGGGGAGCAAACGGG